AUUGAACGCUGGCGGAAUGCUUUACACAUGCAAGUCGAACGGCAGCACGGACUUCGGUCUGGUGGCGAGUGGCGAACGGGUGAGUAAUACAUCGGAACGUGCCCAGUCGUGGGGGAUAACGUAGCGAAAGCUACGCUAAUACCGCAUACGAUCUAAGGAUGAAAGCGGGGGAUCGCAAGACCUCGCGCGAUUGGAGCGGCCGAUGGCAGAUUAGGUAGUUGGUAGGGUAAAGGCCUACCAAGCCGACGAUCUGUAGCUGGUCUGAGAGGAUGAUCAGCCACACUGGGACUGAGACACGGCCCAGACUCCUACGGGAGGCAGCAGUGGGGAAUUUUGGACAAUGGGCGAAAGCCUGAUCCAGCCAUUCCGCGUGCAGGAUGAAGGCCCUCGGGUUGUAAACUGCUUUUGUACAGAACGAAAAGGUUUCUACUAAUACUAGGAGCUCAUGACGGUACUGUAAGAAUAAGCACCGGCUAACUACGUGCCAGCCGCCGCCGUAA
rnacentral:rRNA from 1 species